AACCCCGAACGGUGGAUCACUUGGCACGUGGGUCGAUGAAGGACGCCGCAAAAUGCGCGUCGACGUGUGAACUGCAGGACACAUGAACAUCGACAUUUCGAACGCACAUUGCGGGUUUCGGAUCAUGUCCGUAACCCACGCCUGUCCGAGGGUCG